AUGAGCGAGUUUAUGCCUCACAGGUUACGGUUUACAUCAGGAUUCUCAGAACAGAAAGUGCGCGCGACUAGACGAACGCCUCAUAGCGGUUUACUGCAAAAAGCAAGAAAUCAACAUAACAUCAACAUCAUGCAGAUUCACAUUGGGAAACAGAGAGGAGCCCUUGAUCUUUGUGACCGGAGUGGAGGUAACAACAGAGAAAAAAUUGAUGAAGGGGAAACAAGGAGGGAGGACAUUAUCAUCAGCCCAGGGAUUAGGAGCACUGUGUUCUUUUUUGUUUCCUCUCUGUCUCUCUCUUUCGCUCACUCUCUCAGGUUGUUUGUUUCCACUGUCACUUUGUGGCACUUUAAAUAGAGCCUAUGGUGAGAGGCGUCUACUUUUGUACAGAGCUUGUGGAACUAGCUCUGCGAUGGAUUCAGGGUCCAUUAGUCCGUUUGAAUUUGGUUGAUGGUCAGGAAAGUAUCCAAUGCUCAAGUUAAUAAUAGCGUAUUUGUGAGGGGGAGGGUUCACACACCUAAAUGUGAGCUGAAGAAAAGUAGUUGCAUAAUGAACAUAAAGACACACUCCAUUGCUCUAAGCAAUGUCUUCUGCACAAUGACGUAUAGAACUGCAAUGCAAGCCUCUGUACAGCCUCCCUUUUGUAUGUACAGCAUGCCUUCAAGACUUGCAGUCCACCCCAAAAAAAUGUCAUACACUUUUACACUGCCUUCAGACAGUAUUCACACCCCUUGACUUUUUCCAUAUUUUGUUGUGUUACAAAGAGAGAUUAAAAUGGAAUGAAUUUUCUUACUUUUUUUUGUCAACAAUAUACACAAAAUACUCUAAUGUCAAAGUGGAAGAACAAUUCUAACAUUUGUAAUAAAAAAAAUAUUCAAAAAAAAAUAUAUAUAUAUAGAUCUUGAUUAAAUAAGUAUUCAAUCCCCUGAGUCGAUACAGUGCCUUGCGAAAGUAUUCGGCCCCCUUGAACUUUGCAACCUUUUGCCACAUUUCAGGCUUCAAACAUAAAGAUAUAAAACUGUAUUUUUUUGUGAAGAAUCAACAACAAGUGGGACACAAUCAUGAAGUGGAACGACAUUUAUUGGAUAUUUCAAACUUUUUUAACAAAUCAAAAACUGAAAAAUUGGGCGUGCAAAAUUAUUCGGCCCCCUUAAGUAAUACUUUGUAGCGCCACCUUUUGCUGCGAUUACAGCUGUAAGUCGCUUGGGGUAUGUCUCUAUCAGUUUUGCACAUCGAGAGACUGAAAUUUUUUCCCAUUCCUCCUUGCAAAACAGCUCGAGCUCAGUGAGGUUGGAUGGAGAGCAUUUGUGAACAGCAGUUUUCAGUUUUUUCCACAGAUUCUUGAUUGGAUUCAGGUCUGGACUUUGACUUGGCCAUUCUAACACCUGGAUAUGUUUAUUUUUGAACCAUUCCAUUGUAGAUUUUGCUUUAUGUUUUGGAUCAUUGUCUUGUUGUAAGACAAAUCUCCGUCCCAGUCUCAGGUCUUUUGCAGACUACAUCAGGUUUUCUUCCAGAAUGGUCCUGUAUUUGGCUCCAUCCAUCUUCCCAUCAAUUUUAACCAUCUUCCCUGUCCCUGCUGAAGAAAAGCAGGCCCAAACCAUGAUGCUGCCACCACCAUGUUUGCCAGUGGGGAUGGUGUGUUCAGCUGUGUUGCUUUUACGCCAAACAUAACGUUUUGCAUUGUUGCCAAUUUUGGUUUCAUCUGACCAGAGCACCUUCUUCCACAUGUUUGGUGUGUCUCCCAGGUGGCUUGUGGCAAACUUUAAACAACACUUUUUAUGGAUAUCUUUAAGAAAUGGCUUUCUUCUUGCCACUCUUCCAUAAAGGCCAGAUUUGUGCAAUUUACGACUGAUUGUUGUCCUAUGGACAGAGUCUCCCACCUCAGCUGUAGAUCUCUGCAGCUCAUCCAGAGUGAUCAUGGGCCUCUUGGCUGCAUCUCUGAUCAGUCUUCAUCUUGUAUGAGCUGAAAGUUUAGAGGGACGGCCAGGUCUUUGUAGAUUUGCAGUGGUCUGAUACUCCUUCCAUUUCAAUAUUAUCGCUUGCACAGUGCUCCUUGGGAUGUUUAAAGCUUGGGAAAUCUUUUUGUAUCCAAAUCCGGCUUUAAACUUCUUCACAACAGUAUCUCGGACCUGCCUGGUGUGUUCCUUGUUCUUCAUGAUGCUCUCUGCGCUUUUAACGGACCUCUGAGACUAUCACAGUGCAGGUGCAUUUAUACGGAGACUUGAUUACACACAGGUGGAUUGUAUUUAUCAUCAUUCGUCAUUUAGGUCAACAUUGGAUCAUUCAGAGAUCCUCACUGAACUUCUGGAGAGAGUUUGCUGCACUGAAAGUAAAGGGGCUGAAUAAUUUUGCACGCCCAAUUUUUCAGUUUUUGAUUUGUUAAAAAAGUUUGAAAUAUCCAAUAAAUGUCGUUCCACUUCAUGAUUGUGUCCCACUCUUUGUUGAUUCUUCACAAAAAAAUACAGUUUUAUAUCUUUAUGUUUGAAGCCUGAAAUGUGGCAAAAGGUCGCAAAGUUCAAGGGGGCUGAAUACUUUCGCAAGG
rnacentral:lncRNA from 13 species